GAUGAACGCUGGCGGCGUGCCUAAUACAUGCAAGUCGAGCGAACAGACGAGGAGCUUGCUCCUCUGACGUUAGCGGCGGACGGGUGAGUAACACGUGGAUAACCUACCUAUAAGACUGGGAUAACUUCGGGAAACCGGAGCUAAUACCGGAUAAUAUAUUGAACCGCAUGGUUCAAUAGUGAAAGACGGUUUUGCUGUCACUUAUAGAUGGAUCCGCGCCGCAUUAGCUGGUUGGUAAGGUAACGGCUUACCAAGGCAACGAUGCGUAGCCGACCUGAGAGGGUGAUCGGCCACACUGGAACUGAGACACGGUCCAGACUCCUAAGGGAGGCAGCAGUAGGGAAUCUUCCGCAAUGGGCGAAAGCCUGACGGAGCAACGCCGCGUGAGUGAUGAAGGUCUUCGGAUCGUAAAACUCUGUUAUUAGGGAAGAACAAAUGUGUAAGUAACUAUGCACGUCUUGACGGUACCUAAUCAGGAAGCCACGGCUAACUACGUG
rnacentral:rRNA from 1 species